rnacentral:lncRNA from 10 species
CAGAACGGAGGUGGAGUGACCUCUUAGAAGGCUGCCACAGAGGCCCAGGUGAGAGGUGAUGGUAGCCAGGCCCAGGCCAGUGGCAGCCAGGUGGAAAGAGGUGGCCAGACUGAUAAGAGAUUUAAAAGGCAGAAGCCAGAGGACUUGGUGACUGAUGGGCAGAAGGAUGGGGGCCAGUGAUCUGCUCAGGCUGGCUCCUGGGCUUCUGAAGAAUGAAUGAACGAAUGAAUGAAUGAAUGAACAAACGAACUGGGAAACAGCACCAGAUCUGAAAGCCCCAGGUUUCAGCUUGAUCGUCGGGCUGGGGAGUUUGCUGCUGCACUUGCAUUUGGUACACCUGCAGGGCAUCCAAGUGGAGGUGCCCAUGAGAUGGCUGGACGCAUGGAGGUGCCCUGGAGAAGGUGGAGAGAGAGGAAGCCGGCACAGCCUGCAAAGAGGCCAGAGAAUGAGUAGCCAGAGCCCCUGAAGCCUCACAGGAGGAGGUCUUAGACAAGGCACAGCCAACAGUGCCAAUGGCAAGAGAUGAAGCAGAGACUCACCCAGCGCUUCCAGAAGCUGGGGCAAAGAGGAGCACACACGACCACCUGCCUACUGAGCAGCUCACACUUCCUCCAAUGGAGCCA